UGCCAGACUCCUACGGGAGGCAGCAGUGAGGAAUAUUGGUCAAUGGGCGCGAGCCUGGACCAGCCAAGUCGCGUGAGGGAUGACGGCCCUACGGGUUGUAAACCUCUUUUGCCGGGGAGCAACGGGCGCCACGUGUGGCGCCACUGAGAGUACCCGGAGAAAAAGCAUCGGCUAACUCCGUGCCAGCAGCCGCGGUAAUACGGAGGAUGCGAGCGUUAUCCGGUUUUAUUGGGUUUAAAGGGUGCGUAGGCGGUUCUUAAGGAGAGUGGUAAAAGGGGGGGACACAACCCCUCCCCGCCAUUGAAACUGGCGCUCUUGAGUGGAAGAGAAGUAUGCGGAAUGCGUGGUGUAGCGGUGAAAUGCAUAGAUAUCACGCAGAACCCCGAUUGCGAAGGCAGCAUGCCGGCUUCCGACUGACGCUGAAGCACGAAAGCGUGGGGAUCGAACAGGAUUAGAUACCCCAGUA
rnacentral:rRNA from 1 species